GGCGGAGUGGUGAAACGGUAAACACAUGGGGUCGCUACCCUCUGGCAAUUGGCUGAACAGUCUGAAAGUAAGUCCAUACAUUGCAGGUUCGAGUCCUGCCUCCGCCA
rnacentral:tRNA from 1 species